rnacentral:rRNA from 1 species
UACGUAGGGGGCAAGCGUUAUCCGGAUUUACUGGGUGUAAAGGGAGCGUAGGUGGUAUGAUAAGUCAGAUGUGAAAGCCCAGGGCUCAACCCUGGGAUUGCAUUUGAAACUGUCAAACUAGAGUGCAGGAGAGGUAAGUGGAAUUCCUAGUGUAGCGGUGAAAUGCGUAGAUAUUAGGAGGAACACCAGUGGCGAAGGCGACUUACUGGACUGUAACUGACACUGAGGCUCGAAAGCGUGGGGAGCAAACAGG